rnacentral:snRNA from 1 species
AUACUUACCUGGCAGGGGAGAUACUAUGAUCACGAAGGUGGUUUUCCCAGGGCGAGGCUUAUCCAUUGCACUCCGGAUGUGCUGACCCCUGCGAUUUCCCCAAAUGUGGGAAACUCAACUGCAUAAUUUGUGGUAGUGGGGGACCGCGUUCGCGCUUUCCCCUG